ensembl:lncRNA
GACAAAUUGUUACAUGGCAAUGCCUUGGGUUCCGAGAGUCCGCCAUAAGCCACAGCUGGUCAAGAACCUAACCAAGGGAGGGGCAGCAGUUUGUCCGCCUGCAAUAGAUCCUUAUUGUGAAGUUGAAUUUGCUUUCUCAUCCUCUGUCUGCCUCCCUCUGCACCUCCAUUCAUAAACUGACUGAAUGACGCAGUCGAACACAGCAUUGCCUCCCACCGAGAAGCUCAUGUUUCUGUGAAGACUGAAGACAUACACCAAUAGGCCAGUGCCCAUGGGAUUUACCUGUCUUUCCUUGUACCCAUCGCCCAGGACUAGGUGGCCUUAAAGCAUGGUGGAAUGCCCUAUUGCAGGCCCAGUUACGGUGUGAGCUGAGAGACACCACCUCGUGAGACCCACUGGUCUGCAGAUUAUGGAGUAUGCUCUGAACCAGUAACAACCUGUGAUGCUAGUUCUCCUGGAGUCAAAUAUGUGGGUGUGGGAGCCAGCGCCGGGAUGUUGGAGUGGUACAUACUUAGUACUCAGGGGAGAACUGGGUCUUGCAAGAGAUGCUAAAAUGACUCCUCUGAAGUGGAAGCCGAGACUGUCACUGGCCACUGAGAAAACAGUUAAUAAGCUCCUGGCUCACAACUGAACAUGGAAGAGGCUGAAUGCCUGACUGUGGGACACCAAGUGACCCAUGCAACCAGAACUGGAUAUUAUCUGACCCAUCAAAUCAUAAAAUUGGACAUGCAUGGUAGCAUUCUAUUAUUAAAGAGUGUAUAUGAGAUCAGGUCUGAGCAGUCCAGAAGGCACAAGGAAAUUGCAUGAGCAGGUGGCUCAAAUUCCCAUGGUAUCUACUCUUUUUUUUUUUUUUUAAAGAUUUUUUAUUUUUUUCUUUUUCUCCCCAAAGCCCCCCAGUACAUAGUUGUAUAUUCUUUGUUGUGGGUCCUUCUAGUUGUGGCAUGUGGGACGCUGCCUCAGCGUGGUUUGAUGAGCAGUGCCAUGUCCGCGCCCAGGAUUCGAACCAACGAAACACUGGGCCGCCUGCAGCGGAGCGCGCGAACUUAACCACUCAGCCACGGGGCCAGCCCCCCAUGGUAUCUACUCUUAUUGCUUCACUGCUUCUCCCUCAACUUACACUUGGGGAAGUUGCUAUGACCAGUUAUCAUGGAGGAAAAUGCACAGACAUGAUUUCCAAAUGAGUUUGCGUGGUCUGUUAGCACCAGCUACAAAUGGACAACUGCUGUAUUAGAGCCACACUUAGGGUGUCUCUAAAAGAUGGUGCUGGAGGGAUAUGCUUUCAGUGAGCAGAACUCCUGGUUAUAUUGAUUGUCCAUUUUGCAUGGAAGGAGAGAUGACCGCAGGUACAGAUCUACACUCAUUCACGAGCAGUGGCUAACAAGUUCAUUGGCUGGUCAGGGACUUGAAAAUAAUAAGAUUGGGAGAUUGGAGGUAAGGAGGUCUAAGAUAUAGAUAUAUGGAUGGACUGCUUGAAAUGGGCACAGGCAGUGAAGCUCUUCUUAACCCACACAAAUGCCCUGAGAGGGCAUCCAUUGCGAAAGAGGCUUUCAAUAAUCAGAUGGACAAGACGACCCACACUGUAGAUGACAACUUCUUUCCCCAGCUACCCUGGUUCUUGCUCAUGGCCCAUAUACAAAGUGGCCAUGGUGGCAGGGAUAGGGGCUAGUCAUAGUGUGGUAGGCAGAAUAAUGAUCUCCCAAAGAUAUCCAUGCCCUAAUCCUUGGGACCUGUGAAUAUGUUAUAUUUUGUAUGACAAAUGGUGAAUUAAGGUAGCAGAUAGAAUUAAGGUUGCAAAUCAGCUGGCCUUAAAAAUAGAGAGAUUACCCUGAAUUACCUGGGUAGGCCCAAUGUAAUCACAAGGGUCUUUAAAUGCGGAAGCAGGGGGCAGAAUCUUUGUCAGAGUGGUGUGAUAUGAGAAAGAGUUGAUCGGCCAUGACUGGUGUUGAAAAUAGGAGGAGGGCGCAAGCCAAGGAAUGCAGGCAGCCCCUAGAAGCUGGAAAAGGCAAGAAAAACAGAUUCUCCUUUAGAGACUCCAAAAAGGAAUGCAGCCUUGCUGACACCUUGAUUUUAACCCAACGAGACUCAUUCCAGGCUUCUGACGCCAGAACCGUAAGAGAAUAAAUUUGAGUGGUUUUAAGCCACUAAGUUUGUGGUAAUUUAUUACAGCAGCCAUGGAAAACUAAUACACAUAGUCUCAAUACAUUUCCCUCACCAAUCUGAUCCAGCAUCUGGCACUGCUGAGGGCCCAAGCUGCCAGCAGAAAAGACCAAGCUGAGUUUCCUAUAUGUUACUAUUCCUUGGGGCAAUGGUUCUCAAAGGGCAGACGAGGAACCCCUGGGGGUCUCCAAGAUUCUUUCAGGGGUUCUAUGAGGUCCAAUCUAUUUUCACACUAAGACAUUCUUUGCCUUUUUCACUGUCAUUCUUUCAUGAGUGUAUAGUGGAAGUGCAAUUUUCCAGAGGCUACAUGCCACGUGUACAACGGACUGAAUGCUGAGCAGACUAGAGAACCAAGCUUUCUUCUACUAAGC